rnacentral:rRNA from 1 species
CACGUAGGGGCCGAGCGUUGUCCGGAUUCAUUGGGCGUAAAGAGCUCGUAGGCGGUCGUGUAAGUCGGGUGUGAAAUCUCCAGGCUCAACUUGGAGGGGCCACCCGAUACUGCUCGACUUGAGUCCGGUAGGGGAGUGGGGAAUUCCUGGUGUAGCGGUGAAAUGCGCAGAUAUCAGGAGGAACACCGGUGGCGAAGGCGGCAUCCUGGACCGGCAUUGACGCUGAUGAGCGAAAGCUAGGGGAGCAAACGGG